AUUUAUUUUAAAAUAGUAUUUCAUUUAUAUUAUAAAGAAUCAUAAUAUUUUUAAAAUGAUAUAUUUUUUUUUUCAUUUUGUUUUAAAAUUUUGACAUUUUUGCAUCAAAUAGAAUUGAUAUACGUAUACAUGUAUCACCACGUGAUUAGAAGUUUCAUUCAGUCGAGUAGUAGUAUAAUAUAAUAAUUUCAGAACAACUUGUCGACAAAAAAAGAGUGGGGACUAAAAAAGGAAUCUCAACACGCAAAAUCCAGUAAAGUUAGAAGGAUAGACGAAGAUGUGACAGAGAUCAGUAAGGGAGGACAGAGGGGGAAAAGGAGACGUGAACACGUGAUCAAGAACAAGCAUUCGCUCGUCUCACCUGCAAACAGAGGUCGAAAUCUGGGCAUUCUACACAUCUUACACGUAAACCCGAGAUGUCCUCUUGACAAUAGUUUGUCGAGUGGCAAUCGGUAUUCCCUUUGUCGAUGUAAAUACAUACCCGCCAUUAUUGUCCUGCAGGGUUCUUCCAGAACGAUCCGGAUGACGUCACCGCAUGCCAGAAACCCAUAAGUUUAUCACGUACACUGAACGUGUAAGCUUGACCCCAUUUUUUCCGCGAAAUCGUAUGAAAACGCGGAAAAAUCGUGAUGCGUCCUUCUGGACGCUCUAAUUAUCGUGUGUAAAUUCGUUAAAAAUCUCUAUGGAAAAAAUGUUGUUUACGACUGUUGCGUCGCGAAACGAGUACGCAUGCGUUCCUCUCCUACCAUUUAUGAACUACAUUUCAGGUUCGCCAACUGUGCGAUAAUAAAAGAAAGUUGCAUUUUUGUAUCGGCGCGAAUUUAAAUAAAUAAUUAUAUUUUAACAACAUUCAUUUUUUUUUGUUUGUAUGAAGUUAUAGAGUUGAACAUCAAUUGAAAUGAUAUAAGAUAUUAAAUAAAGUGAUACAAAUUAAUAUAGUCUUGGAAAUAUCGUAAAAUGUUUUGUAUUACUCGAUUAAAAUUUUUCCAUAAGAAUAUUAUCUUAUUAAAUCGAUCAAUUUGUUUGGGACGUCCAUAUUUAAUUGAAGACAAAGCGUUAAGAAAUUUGAAAUUAAAACAAGCAAAAAUGCAGUGUGAAGAUAAUGUUCCUGUAUUUCUGAAAUGCGGUUGGCGAGAUAAAAUAAUAUAUUGGAC